rnacentral:lncRNA from 1 species
CACUCUGGAGGAAGCCACCCACCAUGUUGGCAGGACAUUCAAGCAACCUUAUGGAGAGAUCCACGUGGUGUGAAACUGAGGCCUUUUGCCAAUAUCUGGCACCAACUUACCAGCAAUGUCAAGGAGCUAUAGGAAGAAAAUCUCCAGCCCUAGUCAAGCUUCUAUUGACUGAAUCCCUCACUGACAUCUGGAUUAAAACCUCAUGAGAAAUCCUGAGGGAGAACCAUUCAGAUAAAACAUUCCUUAAUUCUUACCCACAGAUACUGAAAUAAUGCCGUGUCUUCACUUCACAAUAGAUCACUUCACAGAAGGCAAAGCUCUACUGUGAGCUGUUGAGUCUGCUGUGCUAUGUAUGCCCUGUAGUCAGGGACAGACACCAGAUAUUGAUGUACGUGACUUCUGGCUGAAUGGGUUUGAGGAAGGUGAGAAUGGAGAAAGGUGGGUGGUAAGAGGUAUAAAAAAGAUGAAGACCUGACCUGCAUCUGAUGAAGUCAAGGUAUUCUGAGAUGAGAGGGAAAUGAGACAACCCAGAAUUGACUAGAUGGGGAGAGGAGGUAGAGGAGUUAUCGUGGAGGAUCCUAGGUUUCUAGCAAGGGGACUGGAUGGGGGAUUCAGAGCUGGUGAUAUGGCUAGAUGCAGACUAGAGGAUGGGAGGAAUGCUGAGUUUGUUCCUGGGUGUAUCAGGUUGGAGGUGCUUCUGGGAUAUUUGAGUGAAAAGGUCCAAGACCUGACACUGGAAGUGUCUUUAAAAGUUAACCCUUAUGGUGAAGUGAAUCUACUGAAUGAUGCCAAACGUUAUAGCAAAAGAUAUUUUUGAAGCUGGACACACCAACAUUAAAAAACAGAACUGGCUCCUAAAGAAUGCCAUCUCCUUUGAGGCUGCUAGAUGUGAUUCCAGGUAUGUGAAUACCUAAAAAUAGUAAUAUCAUUUAUCCUUUUUCAGGAAGUCUAUUAGAUAAACUCCAACUGGCUCUAGCUGUUGGUACCUCUUUCCCCUUACGCCAUUAUACAUUUUUUCUAAAUCAGAGGUUCAACCUUGGCUCCAUAUUUGAAGCAAUAGAAACUCUUACAAGGAUUAAACAGAACAGGUUAAAAUUACCGGGCAGAUGGU